AAAGUCGUAACAAGGUUUCCGUAGGUGAACCUGCGGAAGGAUCAUUACAGAGUUCAUGCCCUCACGGGUAGAUCUCCCACCCUUGAAUAUUAUACCUUUGUUGCUUUGGCGGACCGCUUCGGCUACCGGCUCCGGCUGGUAAGUGUCCGCCAGAGUCAAACCAAACUCUUAUCAUUAGUGUCGUCUGAGUACUAUAUAAUAGUUAAAACUUUCAACAACGGAUCUCUUGGUUCUG
rnacentral:misc_RNA from 1 species